AUUGAACGCUGGCGGCAGGCCUAACACAUGCAAGUCGAGUGGAGCGGCGGACGGGUGAGUAAUGCCUAGGAAUCUGCCUGGUAGUGGGGGAUAACGUCCGGAAACGGGCGCUAAUACCGCAUACUAUCAGAUGAGCCUAGGUCGGAUUAGCUAGUUGGUGGGGUAAAGGCCUACCAAGGCGACGAUCCGUAACUGGUCUGAGAGGAUGAUCAGUCACACGGGAAUUGAGACACGGUACAGACUCCUACGGCACGCAGAUUGGGGGGAUGUUGGACAAUGGGAGAAGGCGUGAUCCAGGCGUUCGGUGUGAGUAAAGGAGGUCUGGGGAUUGUAAAGCAUUUUAGGUUGGGAGGCGGUACCAACAGCCUAAACACCUGCUAACUUCGUGCCAGCAGCCGCGGUAAUA
rnacentral:rRNA from 1 species